rnacentral:rRNA from 1 species
GACGAACGCUGGCUGCGUGCUUAACACAUGCAAGUCUAACGCUGAAGCCUGGUGCUUGCACCGGGUGGAUGAGUGGCGAACGGGUGAGUAACACGUGAGUAACCUGCCCCUGACUUCGGGAUAAGCCCGGGAAACUGGGUCUAAUACCGGAUACGACUGCCGGACGCAUGUCUGGUGGUGGAAAGUUUUUUCGGUUGGGGAUGGGCUCGCGGCCUAUCAGUUUGUUGGUGAGGUAAUGGCUCACCAAGACGACGACGGGUAGCCGGCCUGAGAGGGCGACCGGCCACACUGGGACUGAGACACGGCCCAGACUCCUACGGGAGGCAGCAGUGGGGAAUAUUGCACAAUGGGGGAAACCCUGAUGCAGCGACGCAGCGUGCGGGAUGACGGCCUUCGGGUUGUAAACCGCUUUCAGCAGGGAAGAAGCGCAAGUGACGGUACCUGCAGAAGAAGUACCGGCUAACUACGUGCCAGCAGCCGCGGUAAUACGUAGGGUACGAGCGUUGUCCGGAAUUAUUGGGCGUAAAGAGCUCGUAGGUGGUUGGUCACGUCUGCUGUGGAAACGCAACGCUUAACGUUGCGCGUGCAGUGGGUACGGGCUGACUAGAGUGCAGUAGGGGAGUCUGGAAUUCCUGGUGUAGCGGUGAAAUGCGCAGAUAUCAGGAGGAACACCGGUGGCGAAGGCGGGACUCUGGGCUGUAACUGACACUGAGGAGCGAAAGCAUGGGGAGCGAACAGGAUUAGAUACCCUGGUAGUCCAUGCCGUAAACGUUGGGCACUAGGUGUGGGGGGCAUUCCACGUUCUCCGCGCCGUAGCUAACGCAUUAAGUGCCCCGCCUGGGGAGUACGGUCGCAAGGCUAAAACUCAAAGGAAUUGACGGGGGCCCGCACAAGCGGCGGAGCAUGCGGAUUAAUUCGAUGCAACGCGAAGAACCUUACCAAGGCUUGACAUACACCGGACCGUCCUGGAAACAGGUCCUCUUCUUUGAAGCUGGUGUACAGGUGGUGCAUGGUUGUCGUCAGCUCGUGUCGUGAGAUGUUGGGUUAAGUCCCGCAACGAGCGCAACCCUCGUUCUAUGUUGCCAGCAUGUGAUGGUGGGAACUCAUAGGAGACUGCCGGGGUCAACUCGGAGGAAGGUGGGGAUGACGUCAAAUCAUCAUGCCCUUUAUGUCUUGGGCUUCACGCAUGCUACAAUGGCUGGUACAGAGAGAGGCGAACCCGUGAGGGCAAGCGAAUCCCUUAAAGCCAGUCUCAGUUCGGAUCGUAGUCUGCAAUUCGACUACGUGAAGUCGGAGUCGCUAGUAAUCGCAGAUCAGCAACGCUGCGGUGAAUACGUUCCCGGGCCU